CCCCACUUGUCUUUUCUUUUGUCAUUGUGAAUGAGAAAAUUAUAUUAAAAUACAGAAUUGGAACAAUGGAAGUAUUUUUGGAGCAGAAGGAUUUCAGCUAAAGACAAUGCCGAGCCAAUGAGAGGGAGAGGAAAAACAUGAGCCGAGGACAAGGGAUGCGAGACUACAGUUUGUACUUUUAUGAUACAAUAUAGAUUUAAUUGCUUAUAAAUAUGUGUGUGUGUGUGUUAAUUGAAUGAUUGAAUGUUAUGGGGAGUAUAUGAUGGUACUAUGAAUUGUUUUGAUUUGAUUUGAUAUGAAAUAUCAGUAUAGAGGACUCUAUUUCAUAAAGAA